rnacentral:rRNA from 1 species
ACCAGGCCUUGACAUGCAGAGAACUUCCAGAGAUGGAUUGGUGCCUUCGGGAACUCUGACACAGGUGCUGCAUGGCUGUCGUCAGCUCGUGUCGUGAGAUGUUGGGUUAAGUCCCGUAACGAGCGCAACCCUUGUCCUUAGUUACCAGCACGUUAUGGUGGGCACUCUAAGGAGACUGCCGGUGACAAACCGGAGGAAGGCGGGGAUGACGUCAAGUCAUCAUGGCCCUUACGGCCUGGGCUACACACGUGCUACAAUGGUCGGUACAAAGGGUUGCCAAGCCGCGAGGUGGAGCUAAUCCCAUAAAACCGAUCGUAGUCCGGAUCGCAGUCUGCAACUCGACUGCGUGAAGUCGGAAUCGCUAGUAAUCGUGAAUCAGAAUGUCACGGUGAAUACGUUCCCGGGCCUU